rnacentral:siRNA from 1 species
GACAAUCUAUGUGAGCCUUGUACU